rfam:Dipodomys ordii contig_34414, whole genome shotgun sequence.
GGGAAUGUGGCUCAGGUGUAGAGUGCUUGCCUUGCAUGCAUGAGGCCCUGGGUUCGAUUCCUCAGUACCA